rnacentral:tRNA from 1 species
UGGGGCGUAGCCAAGCGGUAAGGCAGCGGGUUUUGAUCCCGCCAUGCGGAGGUUCGAAUCCUCCCGCCCCAGCCA